AGUGAACGCUGGCGGUAGGCCUAACACAUGCAAGUCGAACGGCAGCACAGUAAGAGCUUGCUCUUACGGGUGGCGAGUGGCGGACGGGUGAGGAAUACAUCGGAAUCUACUUUUUCGUGGGGGAUAACGUAGGGAAACUUACGCUAAUACCGCAUACGACCUUCGGGUGAAAGCAGGGGAUCUUCGGACCUUGCGCGAUUGAAUGAGCCGAUGUCGGAUUAGCUAGUUGGCGGGGUAAAGGCCCACCAAGGCGACGAUCCGUAGCUGGUCUGAGAGGAUGCUCAGCCACACGGGAACUGAGACACGGUCCAGACUCCUACGGGAGGCAGCAGUGGGGAAUAUUGGACAAUGGGCGCAAGCCUGAUCCAGCCAUACCGCGUGGGUGAAGAAGGCCUUCGGGUUGUAAAGCCCUUUUGUUGGGAAAGAAAAGCAGCAGGUUAAUACCCCGCUGUUCUGACGGUACCCAAAGAAUAAGCACCGGCUAACUUCGUG
rnacentral:rRNA from 1 species